GAGCAGGAGGCGAGGGUCUGGGAGCAGGAGGCGGGGGUCUGGGAGCAGCCGCUCAGGCUUGUGCUACAUCAGCAUAGAUGAGGUGGAGAAGUAGGUGGAGGAACAGGUCUGGGAACAGCUUCUCAUUCCUAUGAUACAUCAACAUGGAUGAGGUGGUGGUGGAGGAGCAGGAGGAACAACAGGUCUGGGAACAGCUGCUUUGGUCUGCGGUACAUCAACAUAGAACUACAUAAAACGUCUGAUUCUGGGUCAGGUUAUUGUGGAGGAGGGGGGCGUUUGAAGAGUAAGGACGUGCAGGAGGCAAAGUAACAGGUCAGCAUCAAACUUUAACACUGACUCAGGAUCAGAUUGUGGUGCUUUUCAUGGACUUAACCAGCAUGCAGACAGACCAUCUGGACUGACCACCUUACUAUACAUCCUGGGUGUUAUCACCAUGGUUACCAGACUCUACUUAGGUACAUCUUCAGUCUUAUUUGGAAAAUGAACAGAUGAUUGAAGUUGUGAGAUGAGAUGGAUGCAUGUAAUGUUAUAUACAUGAAUAGUUCUCAACAGGACAUUUACCAUAGAAACAUCUGGAACAAGCAGCAGCUCUGUUCUCAACAGGACAUUACCAUAGAAACAUCACCAUGAACAAACAGCAGCUCUGUUCUCAACAGGACAGUUACCAUAGAAACA